AGAGAUUCAUGGAUGAGGACCAUUUUAAUCAUGUUGCCACGACAAUCUGAAACAUUUACGUGGUUCUAGGUGGAGCUGUGCCCCAUACGCAUCAACUGACUGCAGCCAGAAAAAACAGGAUGCAGCAGCUAAAUCAACCCCCAGACAUUAGCUUGCUAUUUGGCUAACCACCAUCCUGAAGAUCUUCCAUCACCACGCCAACCACAAACCCACCCAACAUCAGACCAGCUGUUC